UACGUAGGGUGCAAGCGUUGUCCGGAAUUAUUGGGCGUAAAGAGCUCGUAGGCGGUCUGUCGCGUCUGCUGUGAAAACUCAGGGCUUAACCCUGAGCUUGCAGUGGGUACGGGCAGACUAGAGUGCGGUAGGGGAGACUGGAAUUCCUGGUGUAGCGGUGAAAUGCGCAGAUAUCAGGAGGAACACCGGUGGCGAAGGCGGCAUCCUGGACCGGCAUUGACGCUGAGGAGCGAAAGCUAGGGGAGCAAACGGG
rnacentral:rRNA from 1 species